rnacentral:rRNA from 1 species
ACAAUGUAGAGUUUGAUCCUGGCUCAGGAUGAACGCUGGCUACAGGCUUAACACAUGCAAGUCGUGGGGCAGCGGAUGCUUAGCUUGCUAAGUAUGCCGGCGACCGGCGCACGGGUGAGUAACGCGUACCGAACCUGCCCAUCACACAGGGAUAGGCUUGCGAAAGCAAGAUUAAUACUGAUGGUCUCAGUUGUAUGCAUGUAUGAUUGAGUAAAGCCUUCGGGCGGUGAUGGAUGGCGGUGCGUCCCAUUAGGACGUUGGCGGGGUAACGGCCCACCAAUCCUUCGAUGGGUAGGGGUUCUGAGAGGAAGGUCCCCCACAUUGGAACUGAGAUACGGUCCAAACUCCUACGGGAGGCAGCAGUGAGGAAUAUUGGUCAAUGGGCGAGAGCCUGAACCAGCCAAGUAGCGUGCGGGAUGAAGGCCCUUGUGGUCGUAAACCGCUUUUAUCAGUGAAUAAAGUGCACCACGUGUGGUGUCAUUGCAGGUAGCUGAAGAAAAAGGACCGGCUAAUUCCGUGCCAGCAGCCGCGGUAAUACGGAAGGUCCGGGCGUUAUCCGGAAUUAUUGGGUUUAAAGGGAGCGCAGGCGGGAGUAUAAGUCAGCUGUUAAAUAUCAGAGCCCAACUCUGUUAUGCAGUUGAAACUAUAUUUCUUGAGUACGCACAGGGAUGGCGGAAUUCAGGGUGUAGCGGUGAAAUGCUUAGAUAUCCUGAAGAACUCCGAUCGCGAAGGCAGCCAUCCGGAGCGUAACUGACGCUGAGGCUCGAAGGUGCGGGUAUCGAACAGGAUUAGAUACCCUGGUAGUCCGCACGGUAAACGAUGAAUACUCGCAGUUCGGCCGUUUAGGUCGAGUUGUCCAGCGAAAGCGUUAAGUAUUCCACCUGGGGAGUACGCCGGCAACGGUGAAACUCAAAGGAAUUGACGGGGGCCCGCACAAGCGGAGGAACAUGUGGUUUAAUUCGAUGAUACGCGAGGAACCUUACCCGGGCUUGAACCAAGAGUGCGGAGUGCAGAGAUGCGCUUUUUCUUCGGACACUUUUGGAGGUGCUGCAUGGUUGUCGUCAGCUCGUGCCGUGAGGUGUCGGCUUAAGUGCCAUAACGAGCGCAACCCUUUUCUACGUUUGCCAUCGGGUAAUGCCGGGAACUCCGUGGAUACUGCCGCCGCAAGGCGGAGGAAGGUGGGGAUGACGUCAAAUCAGCACGGCCCUUACGUCCGGGGCUACACACGUGUUACAAUGGUCGGAGCAGCAGGAAGCUACCUGGCGACAGGAUGCUGAUCCCAAAACCCGGCCUCAGUUCGGACUGGAGUCUGCAACCCGACUCCACGAAGCCGGAUUCGCUAGUAAUCGCGCAUCAGCCAUGGCGCGGUGAAUACGUUCCCGGGCCUUGUACACACCGCCCGUCAAGCCAUGAAAGCCGGGGGUGCCUGAAAGCCGUGACCGCGAGGGUCGGCCUAGGGUAAAACCGGUGAUUGGGGCUAAGUCGUAACAAGGUAGCCGUACCGGAAGGUGCGGCUGGAACACCUCCUUU